GACGUCGAUAUUCGACGUCAGAAACAUGAUCAAUUUUGAUGUUUAUGACGUCGAUAUUCGACGUCAUAAACACGAUCAACUUUGGUGUUUAUGACGUCGAUAUUCGACGUCAUAAACACGAUCAACUUUGGUGUUUAUGACUUCGAUAUUCGACGUCAUAAACACGAACAACUUUGGUGUUUAUGACGUCGAUAUUCGACGUCAUAAACACGAUCAACUUUGGUGUUUAUGACGUCGAUAUUCGACGUC